rnacentral:rRNA from 1 species
AUUGAACGCUGGCGGCAGGCCUAACACAUGCAAGUCGAACGGUAACAGGAAGCAGCUUGCUGCUUCGCUGACGAGUGGCGGACGGGUGAGUAAUGUCUGGGAAACUGCCUGAUGGAGGGGGAUAACUACUGGAAACGGUAGCUAAUACCGCAUAACGUCGCAAGACCAAAGAGGGGGAGCUUAUGGCGUCUUGCCAUCGGAUGUGCCCAGAUGGUAUUAGCUAGUAGGUGGGGUAACGGUUCACCUAGGCGACGAGCCCUAGCUGGUCUGAGAGGAUGCCCAGCCACACGGGAGGUGGGACACGGUCCAGACUCCUGCGAGACGCAGCAGUGGGGAAUAUUGGGCAGUGGGCGCAAGCAUGAUGCAGCCAUGCCGCGUGUAUGAAGAAGGCCUUCGGGUUGUAAAGUACUUUCAGCGGGGAGGAAGGGAGUAAAGUUAAUACCUAGGCUCAUUGACGUUACCCGCAGAAGAAGCACCGGCUAACUCCGUG